GUGAGGAAGUCAGGAAGCAGCCUUAGCCAUUCUGGAACUCUUACCUUGGCUUCCCACAUACUAGGAUGACACACGUGUGUCUCCGUGCUUACUUAUGCGGUGUUGGCAUGAAUGGAACCACGGAUUCUAGACUUGGCCUCAACUGCCACCCUUCCCUGCCUCUCCAAGUUCCGUUCUCCAUCUCCUCAGCCUGUACCGCCUGCUCACCACUGUUCCUUGCAGCCCAAAGUGGCCUCCAUUCAGAUGACCUGGUGACCUGGAAUUGGCCUCUGUCCCUCUACCCAGGGUGCUGGCAGUGAUGCCCAUCCUCCUAUCUGCACACAGCUGUUUGGUAUCUCGGCGAAUCUGGUUCUUAUCACCACAGCUUGCUAAGCAGGAGUGAGUGCCAGACAUUCU